UUCACUUCUCCUGUUCAGAUAAAAAUGCUUUCAUCCCAAAUAAGUAAAACAAGAACAUUAAUAGUGCUAAUAAUAUAAUCUUUUCAUUGGAUAGGUCUGAGUUUAGCGUUUGUUUGUUUUCUUAAUGAGAUCAAAAGUUAAAGACCAAGGCAGCAAAAUAUUGUGAAACAAGCUGAACUUGGGAUCAGCAUACAUUUGUUCAGUCUUGUUUCAUUUAGUAUGACUUUGGGCAUAUC
rnacentral:lncRNA from 10 species